CCCUUAGAUGUUCUGAGCCGCACGCGCGCUACACUGAUGCAUUCAACGAGUUUUUCCUGGUCCGAGAGGAAUGGGUAACCUUUUGAAAGUGCAUCGUGCUAGGGAUAGACUAUUGCAAUUAUUGGUCUUCAACGAGGAAUUCCUAGUAGACGUAGUUCAUCAGACUGCAUCGAUUACGUCCCUGCCCUUUGUACACACCGCCCGUCGCUCCUACCGAUUGGAUGAUCCGGUGAGCUAUUCGGACCUUCGCUUCGUCGAUUUUCGGCUUUGUGAGGGAAAGUCUCGCGAACCUUAUCAUCUAGAGGAAGGAGAAGUCGUAACA
rnacentral:rRNA from 1 species